CGUAGGGGGCAAGCGUUGUCCGGAAUCAUUGGGCGUAAAGCGCGUGUAGGACGGCUCGAUAAGUCUGCUGUGAAAGUCCUAGGGCUCAACCCUGGGAUGCCGGUGGAUACUGUCGAGCUCGAGUCCGGAAGAGGAGUGUGGAAUUCCUGGUGUAGCGGUGAAAUGCGCAGAUUAUCAAGGAGGAACACCGAUAGCGAAGGCAGCACUCUGGUACGUGACUGACGCUGAGACGCGAAAGCGUGGGGAGCUAAACAGGAUUAGAUACCCUGGUAGUCCACGCCGUAAACGAUGGGCACGUAGGUGUGGGAGGUGUCGACUCCUCCCGUGCCGAAGCUAACGCAUUAAGUGCCCCGCCUGGGGAGUACGGUCGCAAGACUA
rnacentral:rRNA from 1 species